rnacentral:rRNA from 1 species
UACGUAGGGUGCGAGCGUUAAUCGGAAUUACUGGGCGUAAAGCGUGCGCAGGCGGUUCGUUGUGUCCGUCGUGAAAGCCCCGGGCUUAACCUGGGAACUGCGAUGGAAACUAGCGAGCUGGAGUGUGGCAGAGGGGGGUGGAGUUCCGCGUGUAGCAGUGAAAUGCGUAGAGAUGCGGAGGAACACCGAUGGCGAAGGCAGCCCCCUGGGCUAACACUGACGCUCAGGCACGAAAGCGUGGGGAGCAAACAGG